rnacentral:rRNA from 1 species
CAGUCGCCGCGGUAAAACGAAGGGGGCUAGCGUUGUUCGGAUUUACUGGGCGUAAAGCGCACGUAGGCGGACUUUUAAGUCAGGGGUGAAAUCCCGGGGCUCAACCCCGGAACUGCCUUUGAUACUGGAAGUCUUGAGUAUGGUAGAGGUGAGUGGAAUUCCGAGUGUAGAGGUGAAAUUCGUAGAUAUUCGGAAGAACACCAGUGGCGAAGGCGGCUCACUGGCUCAUACUGGACGCUGAGGUGCGAAAGCGUGGGGAGCAAACAGGAUUAGAUACCCGCGUAGUCCCUGUCUCUUAUAC